AGACAAAGCAAAUAUGAAGAUCCAGCCAAAGUCUUCCCCAUAGCAGAAGGAGAUAGGAACGAGAUCUACUCCCUUUGGGCAGUUUUGGUUGCACAGGUGUUAGGAGGAAAAAUGGAGUUUAGAGCUGACUUUCAACACUCGAUGCACGUUUGGCAGGAGGCCAAAGCGAAUCAGAAUAAACAUCCAGAAGGAUAUGCCAAACACAAGAAAAUCAUAGCAACUUAAUAUGAUUUAAUACUAAUAAAGCAGUUAAGAUGAAAAUCACACAAAGCUUGUUAACACUUUUUUUAUACAGGCUGGCAUCCUGUGACAAGUGGGGUCGCCCAGGGACUGG